ACUGGGACUGUGACCAGCAUGUUGGUGGAGCACGCACAGUGGUCCCCGUGGAGCUGAUGACCAGCAGGCCAGCUGCGAGCCACAGCCCCCUCUCAAGCUGCCCACCGACCAGGGAGCGGGGCCAGCUUUUCAGAAGAGUCGGUGUCCACCUGCGUGUCCUACACAAGGCAUCUCAUGCCUCUGCAGCAGUUGCACACUUAACUCACGAAGCAUUCAGGAUGAGAGGAACUGCUUGAAAAUAUUAGAAUAACCGUUCCACACCCUGGGUCAGUACACUUGGGCAAUUUACUAAAUCAUCAAAGGUAAAUGUGUAAAGGUGACAUACAAAAGCACUUGGAAAUGAGCCUGGAGGAUCUCCAACAUUUAUAGGUGGGAAGGAGAAGAAUUUUGGAUGAAAAGGAGGACCG